rnacentral:rRNA from 1 species
CACGUAGGGGGCGAGCGUUGUCCGGAUUUAUUGGGCGUAAAGAGCUCGUAGGCGGCUUUGUCAGUCGGGUGUGAAACCUCCAGGCUCAACCUGGAGCCGCCACCCGAUACUGCAAUAGCUAGAGUCCGGUAGGGGAGCAUGGAACUCCUGGCGUAGCGGUGAAAUGCGCAGAUAUCAGGAAGAACACCAGUGGCGAAGGCGGUGCUCUGGGCCGGAACUGACGCUGAGGAGCGAAAGCGUGGGGAGCAAACAGG